rnacentral:rRNA from 1 species
UACAGAGGGGGCGAGCGUUGCUCGGAAUUACUGGGCGUAAAGCGCGCGUAGGCGGCUUUGCAAGUCGGGUGUGAAAUCCCCAGGCUUAACCUGGGAACUGCAUUCGAGACUGCAUUGCUAGAGUAUGGGAGAGGGAAGUGGAAUUUCCGGUGUAGCGGUGAAAUGCGUAGAUAUCGGAAGGAACAUCAGUGGCGAAAGCGACUUCCUGGACCAAUACUGACGCUCAUGUGCGAAAGCGUGGGGAGCAAACAGG